rnacentral:tRNA from 1 species
ACUUUUAUAGUUUAAUAAAAACAUUAGGUUGUGAUUCUAAAGAUGUUUUAACUAAGAGUA